rnacentral:lncRNA from 1 species
AUUUUAAUAAAAUAGAAAAGGGAUUUUUGUGGCAAGCAAAUAUUUACAAAACAGUACUUAUACCACUGUUUUGUGAAUAUAUAGCACCUCUCAAACCAAGUUUAAAACGACAAAUACCUAUCUCCACAAUCCCCACAAAAUAUACUAAAACAUGGACAUUUUUAAAACAGGGAAGGAUCAAGUUAACAUUGGGCUUGAGAUGAAAAGAGGGAGAGGUUUUGAAGCCUAUGCAAACCACAUAGUUCCUACUAGCAAUUGCAC